rnacentral:lncRNA from 1 species
GCCUCAAUAUCAUCUUUGUCUGUGGCAAUAAUAAUGGCAGGUUCUUCUUCCGGACUGCAACACUCUUAAAUAAUACACUGCUGACAACAAAUGUACCCAAUGUAAACAAUAUCCAGGGUUCGAUACAACCAAGCUUGAUUCAGUGUGUUUUCAGCAUCCCCAUUGAUGCAAACACUAUCAACUUCCUAAACAAUGUCAAUGUCACAAAUGUCAACAUUAGCAACAUUGCUAAUUCCCAGCUGAAUGUUUUCCUUGACGUCUUGCAGGGUUCAACCAAUGGAACUGUUCUGGGAGGACCAAAAAGUGUAUUUAGGUCCUCUGUUCCAGUGAAUCUAGCUAAUGUCAACUCUACUAAUGUUGUAAGCCCCACAGCUAAUUCAAAAGCCAGCAUCUCACUCAACAGCCUACUGAGUCAUGGUAAAUACUUUUCUAAGUCCUCCAAUGAUGUGUUAAAUCACAGCUGAAUAAAUAAAAAAAUCUCAAUACAUACAGUUCAAAUAACUCUUUAUUUUCCCAACUUACAGCUGCAAUUUGCCUACUCAGUAUCUUCUUGCAUCUGAUCUGAGGGGCCGGAGAGAGUCCUGAAGACUAAUCGUGCUGUGGGUGGAGUAGUAUAGAUAUGCACUAGCAUCAGCAUGUUUUCCUAAAAUAUUCAUACCUCCGCUGGAUUCUUUCUUUAUUCGAUUCUUAGAUUAUUCACAAACAUAUAGCAAACCCAUGUAUGUUUGACAUAUACAGGGUGUUGGACACAUAUAAUAAAGCCUAACUCUUUUAAUCAUCCUCUAACAUUAUACUGACAGUGGAAAUGGUCCUGAAAACUUUUUGAAGUUACAUUAAAAGCUUAUUAACAAACAUA